AAGACUAUAGACCUGCGGAGUACCUGCGGAAGGAUCAUUAUUGAACUAUGUUUCUAAAUGGGUUGUAGCUGGCUCGUCAGAGCAUGUGCACGCCUGUUUGGACUUCAUUUUCAUCCACCUGUGCACCUAUUGUAGUCUUUGGUUGGGUAUCAAGGAAGUGGUCAGCCUAUCAGCACUUGCUGGAUGUGAGGACUUGCAGUGUGAAAGCUUUGCUGUCCUUUACUUGAUCAUGGAGUUGUU
rnacentral:misc_RNA from 1 species